GAUGAACGCUAGCUACAGGCUUAACACAUGCAAGUUGAGGGGCAGCAUUUCAGUUUGCUUGCAAACUGGAGAUGGCGACCGGCGCACGGGUGAGUAACACGUAUCCAACCUGCCGAUAACUCGGGGAUAGCCUUUCGAAAGAAAGAUUAAUACCCGAUGGUAUAAUCAGACCGCAUGGUCUUGUUAUUAAAGAAUUUCGGUUAUCGAUGGGGAUGCGUUCCAUUAGGCAGUUGGUGAGGUAACGGCUCACCAAACCUUCGAUGGAUAGGGGUUCUGAGAGGAAGGUCCCCCACAUUGGAACUGAGACACGGUCCAAACUCCUACGGGAGGCAGCAGUGAGGAAUAUUGGUCAAUGGGCGCAGGCCUGAACCAGCCAAGUAGCGUGAAGGAUGACUGCCCUAUGGGUUGUAAACUUCUUUUAUAUGGGAAUAAAGUUUUCCACGUGUGGAAUUUUGUAUGUACCAUAUGAAUAAGGAUCGGCUAACUCCGUGCCAGCAGCCGCGGUAAUACGGAGGAUCCGAGCGUUAUCCGGAUUUAUUGGGUUUAAAGGGAGCGUAGGUGGACAGUUAAGUCAGUUGUGAAAGUUUGCGGCUCAACCGUAAAAUUGCAGUUGAUACUGGCUGUCUUGAGUACAGUAGAGGUGGGCGGAAUUCGUGGUGUAGCGGUGAAAUGCUUAGAUAUCACGAAGAACUCCGAUUGCGAAGGCAGCUCACUGGACUGCAACUGACACUGAUGCUCGAAAGUGUGGGUAUCAAACAGGAUUAGAUACCCUGGUAGUCCACACAGUAAACGAUGAAUACUCGCUGUUUGCGAUAUACAGUAAGCGGCCAAGCGAAAGCAUUAAGUAUUCCACCUGGGGAGUACGCCGGCAACGGUGAAACUCAAAGGAAUUGACGGGGGCCCGCACAAGCGGAGGAACAUGUGGUUUAAUUCGAUGAUACGCGAGGAACCUUACCCGGGCUUAAAUUGCAUUUGAAUAUAUUGGAAACAGUAUAGCCGUAAGGCAAAUGUGAAGGUGCUGCAUGGUUGUCGUCAGCUCGUGCCGUGAGGUGUCGGCUUAAGUGCCAUAACGAGCGCAACCCUUAUCUUUAGUUACUAACAGGUCAUGCUGAGGACUCUAGAGAGACUGCCGUCGUAAGAUGUGAGGAAGGUGGGGAUGACGUCAAAUCAGCACGGCCCUUACGUCCGGGGCUACACACGUGUUACAAUGGGGGGUACAGAAGGCAGCUACCUGGUGACAGGAUGCUAAUCCCAAAAGCCUCUCUCAGUUCGGAUCGAAGUCUGCAACCCGACUUCGUGAAGCUGGAUUCGCUAGUAAUCGCGCAUCAGCCAUGGCGCGGUGAAUACGUUCCCGGGCCU
rnacentral:rRNA from 1 species